rnacentral:lncRNA from 1 species
AAAAAAUUACAUUGCCAUGCAAGAAAAAUGGUUUCCACGUAUCAUAGGUAAAAAAACAAACAGGAAAAUGUAUCCUGCUUAUAAAAAGGAGCUCAGCUCUUUGAAAAAAACACAGCAGAACACAACACUAACCAUAUAAAGCCAAAACAACAGUUUUAUUUAAUGUGGCUGAUUGUUUUUCCUUUAUUGCUUCAGUAUAAAAGCUUUCCUUAUUUUAUUUUUUUACAAUCUGCCAAAGCAAAGCCUUUUAAUAGUGAACUAUAGCAAGAUGGCUGCUAAAUGUUAAAGGUAGAACUAAAGUGGAUUGUAUUCUUGUGCACUGAACUUUUGUAAAUAAUCAUACUACAUAUUCUCAAAUUAUAUUUCUCAAUUUUUUGAACCUAGACUGAACAUUGGAAAAAAAAAUCAGUUUAUCCUGCAACCCUACAUUUCAAUUUUUUUUCCAGCACUACUUUCAAAAUGGUAGCAUUUAAUAUUUUUUUCGUUCAAAGAAGAUGGAGUAAACAGAAAGAACCACAAACAUUUGUCAACAAGAUAUUUUGAAAUUUUGAAAAAGCUAAACAAAGGGUUUAUUUUCCCCCAUUUAAAAUGACUUAUUAUUUAUUAAUAAUAGAAACUUGUCAAAAAAAAAUAUUCCUUACCCUACCAUACAAAGUAUUGAAAGGCAACAUCAAACAGAAAAUUCUUUAAGGAUGUUCGCUAAUCUGUUUCAAAAUAACAAGCAUUUAAAAGUACUGUUAUAUAUUAAGAGUGUAUAAAUAAAGGAACUUAAAAAGUGUAAAAAAUGAAGGUUAUAUGUGCUUGUUUUCGUGAUAUGACCCCCGGAAAUUUUGGCAGGAAAUCAUUUUCCUUAGACUUUUCAUACAUUUAACAUUGCCCCCUCUUUCUUUCAAAAAAACAUGAAAAAAGUACAAGAAUUUUAUAGGAAUUUUAAAUAUGGCUUUUGAAACUUUAUGUCAUUAAAUAAUAAGAAAAGUAGGGGUUAGUGGGGAAAUGUUUUCAAUAACACUUCAUUGAUAAAACUGGAAGAUUUCAAAUAUCUUGCAAAAGUUAAAAAAAACCAAGAGGAGCAAACAUCCUUAUUGUAAAAGUAUCUGAAUUAUCUGCCCUUGCAUUUGAGUUGCCUCCCCUUAAUUGACAAAGUUUGGGGAAAAAAUGAAUCAAACAAAGAAUUCUUAUUUUUGUAAAAUACAAUCAUAAAUAUGAUCAAACAUGGCAUUUUCUAUAUUAUAAUGAAAAUUCUUACACAUGAAUUACCUACUACUAUAAAAAUUUGCACAUUUCAUCAAAGAUCUAGACCUUGUUUUCUAGUAUUUCAAAAUCCAAAAUGGAGGAAGACGCCCAUCUACCUUAAAGGGAAAUCACACUAUUGUUUAUACGCAUCGCUCUCGGCGCCGCUAUAGUGUCGUGACUGUAUUAUGACGUCGCCGUUUUCGAGUCCGUCGCAAAGGCUGCUAAUUUAUAAAAUAGUGAGCCGCUCAAAGGGACGUUCCACUAAAGCAGGAAAAUGAUAAUGAACAUAUCAUGUUUUUCACAACUGUGAUAAUUAGAUUAAAAAUACAUUUCCAUAAGGAAGGGUCUGAUUGUAUUGGGGUUUACGGAAUACAGAAUAAUGGUUAAUACUGCAGAAUAAAUUGCAAAAAAAAAGAAGAAAAGAUAAGAGAAUGAUGAGGUGCUAAAAUAUAAAGAAUAAAAAAUAUUGGUAACACAAACUAAAUAUUAAUAAAUGAAUGACCCUCUAUCCAGACCCUUAUGAUAAAAAGAACAUAUCAAUUCAAAACACAUAAUCAUCAUGCAUAAUCAACACUAAGAACGUUGGAAAUUCAUAGCAUAUUCAAUAUAAUUUAGUACACUCUGGAACCAUUUUCUCGAAAACAAAGUCGGUAACAUAUACUUUUUUUCGGCAGCGUAUCGUCGCGAUGCGGUAUGUAGG